CGUGCGGGCACGGCUAAAAAUGUCCGAGCGGUUGUGGAAAAGUAAACGUGACACAACGGUGCGGAAAUGAAGUAAGAGAGCGGCUGAUUAGGUAAAGGAACUAAGGCGCAUUUGGCGCCUUGUGAGCGACGUGCGGAUCGGGACGAUGUGGACCGAGGCGGUGAGUUGCGAUCGCAGGCGGGCGUUAAAUCUUAGCUGCCCACACUCCCGUCCUCUGAGUGUGUGUGUGAGAGAGAGAGAGAGAGAGAGAGAGAGAGAGAGAGAGAGAGAGAGAGAGAGAGAGAAAAGAGCCCUGCCCUUUUACUCCCAGCUGUGUGGCUCCCCAGGCCUCCCUGCCCCUUCCUGUGCGUCUCACCGCCCCGGCAAGGAGGAGGAUGCAGGCUCUGACGCCGACAAAAAGGAAUUCCCUCCUCUGGCCGGGAGCUCACUCGGGCCCCGUGUGGCUCCCUGACGCACGCUCGCCUGCCCCGUCUGCAUUGCGGAGGCGCAGACACCUCCCAGCCUAAAAGAGGAGCCCGGGAGCGAGCUCACUGAAGGGUCUUCCAUUGUCCCGCCGCUCUUCUGUAAACACUGAAUGUCAAAGUGAGCAAAGUAUCCCUUCCUGAUCCCUCCGCUGCUGACGUGUCUGGAUAGUGUCGAUAUCAGAAAAGCUGUUGGCGGCCCGCUCCCUACCCGCAGGUGAGGGGCUUCUAUGUUUCAGUCCUCACGUGGGGGGUCUGUCCUUGUCUUCUGUGCCUGCUCUGAUAACCAUCUCAAUCACUGUCUCACUCCAAGUGUCCCUCUGUCCCCCUUGUCCACAAUGCCAGUGCCAGUGUCUCACGCAAAAGAUCUAUCUGUCCUCCGCUUCUGUUUUGCACUUGUGCUGAGAAUAUUGUCUCACACCAGAGGUCUCUCUAAAUCCCCCCCCCCCCAGACUUCUAUGUGUCGAUUAUUAGCGUCUCAUUCCAAGGAUCUCUCUGCCACUCCCUUGUCUCCUGUGCUGUGUCCCUCCACGGGUCCCUCCGUUGCCCCAGCGUACUCGUCUCCCGUGCCUGCUGCGCUGAUAAUCAGCAACUCACUCCAGCUGGCUCAGUUCAGCAGGAACAGGAGCCUCGUGCCACCAGUGCUACGGUGGUGGUGGAAGAGGAGGAGGAAGAAAAGUCCUUCACACCAUAACUCCAAGAUCCAUUCUGAGAUCAAUACCGUUGCACACCGGUAACCCGAACGUGGACAGAGCAUAUUCAUCUGCUAAAAAUAAAAUAAAAAUGAAAUCGAACUCCAA